UGAACGCUGGCGGCGUGCUUAACACAUGCAAGUCGCACGAGAACGUUUCAGCUUGCUGAAACUAGUAAAGUGGCGCACGGGUGAGUAACGCGUGGGUAAUCUACCUCCGAAUUGGGGAUAACAUUGCGAAAGCGAUGCUAAUACCGAAUGACAUCUCAAUAACUCCGGUCUUUGAGAUCAAAGGUGGCCUCUCCAUGGAAGCUACUGUUUGGAGAUGAGCCCGCGUACCAUUAGCUUGUUGGUAGGGUAAUGGCCUACCAAGGCGACGAUGGUUAGCUGGUCUGAGAGGAUGAUCAGCCACACUGGAACUGACACACGGUCCAGACUCCUACGGGAGGCAGCAGUGAGGAAUUUUGCGCAAUGGGGGAAACCCUGACGCAGCAACGCCGCGUGAGUGAUGAAGGCUUUCGGGUCGUAAAGCUCUGUCAAGUGAGAAGAACCUGUCCUUUGCUAAUAUCACUGGGCACUGACGGUAUCACUGAAGGAAGCACCGGCUAACUCC
rnacentral:rRNA from 1 species